rnacentral:rRNA from 1 species
CAUGCAAGUCGAGCGGAUGAAGAGAGCUUGCUCUCUGAUUCAGCGGCGGACGGGUGAGUAAUGCCUAGGAAUCUGCCUAUUAGUGGGGGACAACGUUUCGAAAGGAACGCUAAUACCGCAUACGUCCUACGGGAGAAAGCAGGGGACCUUCGGGCCUUGCGCUAAUAGAUGAGCCUAGGUCGGAUUAGCUAGUUGGUGGGGUAAUGGCUCACCAAGGCGACGAUCCGUAACUGGUCUGAGAGGAUGAUCAGUCACACUGGAACUGAGACACGGUCCAGACUCCUACGGGAGGCAGCAGUGGGGAAUAUUGGACAAUGGGCGAAAGCCUGAUCCAGCCAUGCCGCGUGUGUGAAGAAGGUCUUCGGAUUGUAAAGCACUUUAAGCUGGGAGGAAGGGCAUUAACCUAAUACGUUAGUGUUUUGACGUUACCGGCAGAAUAAGCACCGGCUAACUCUGUGCCAGCAGCCGCGGUAAUACAGAGGGUGCAAGCGUUAAUCGGAAUUACUGGGCGUAAAGCGCGCGUAGGUGGUUUGUUAAGUUG